rnacentral:rRNA from 1 species
GACGAACGCUGGCGGCGUGCUUAACACAUGCAAGUCGAGCGGUAAGGCCCUUUCGGGGGUACACGAGCGGCGAACGGGUGAGUAACACGUGGGUGACCUGCCCUCAGCUCUGGGAUAAGCCUGGGAAACCGGGUCUAAUACUGGAUAUGACUCCAUGACGCAUGUUGUGGGGUGGAAAGCCUUGUGCGGCUGAGGAGUGGGCCCGCGGCCUAUCAGCUUGUUGGUGGGGUGANGGCCUACCAAGGCGACGACGGGUAGCCGGCCUGAGAGGGCGACCGGCCACACUGGGACUGAGACACGGCCCAGACUCCUACGGGAGGCAGCAGUGGGGAAUCCUGCGCAAUGGGCGAAAGCCUGACGCAGCGACGCCGCGUGAGGGAUGACGG